GAAGAGAAGCGGGCGGUCGCUUACGAUAUUCGUAAGAGGAAAGUCCGGGCUUCACAGGACAGGGAGAUGGAUAACGUCCACCGGUCGUGAGAUCAGGGAAAGUGCCACAGAAAAUAAACCGCCCCGGGUUUUUAAAUUUGGGGUAAGGGUGAAACGGUGAGGUAAGAGCUCACCAGCGGUCGAGGUGACUCGUCCGGCUCGGUAAACCCCUCCUGAAGCAAGAUUAAACAGAGGGAAGUGGUAAAGCGUAAAAACUUUUCCCCCAAUUUAGUCCGAAUUGGCGCCCCCCUCGGGUAAAUCGCUAGAACGGGCGAGUAAUCGUUCGUCCAGAUAAAUGAUCGUCACCUUUUUACUUACUCCACGUUUACGUACUUUACGAUAAAUUUUUGCACUUUUUGG
rnacentral:RNase_P_RNA from 1 species